GACGAAGGAUGCAAGCGUUAUCCGGAUUUACUGGGUUUAAAGGGUGCGUAGGUGGGUUGGUAAGUCAGUGGUGAAAUCUUCGAGCUUAACUCGGAAACUGCCAUUGAUACUAUCAAUCUUGAAUUAUCUGGAGGUAAGCGGAAUAUGUCAUGUAGCGGUGAAAUGCUUAGAUAUGACAUAGAACACCCAUUGCGAAGGCAGCUUACUACGGAUAUAUUGACACUGAGGCACGAAAGCGUGGGGAUCAAACAGG
rnacentral:rRNA from 1 species